rnacentral:SRP_RNA from 1 species
GCCGGGCGCGGUGGCACUUGCCUGUAGUCCCAGCUACUCGGAAUGCUGAGGUGGGAGGAUCGCUUGAGCCCAGGAGUUCUGGGCUGUAGUGCGCUAUGCCAAUCAGGUGUCCACACUAAGUUCGGCAUCAAUAUAGUGACCUCCUGGGAGCAGGGGACCACCAGGUUGCCUAAGGAGGGGUGAACCGGCCCAGGUCGGAAACGGAGCAGGUCAAAACUCCUGUGCUGAUCAGUAGUGGGAUUGCACCUGUGAAUAGCCACUGCACUCCAGCCUGGGCAACAUAGCGAGACCCUGUCUCU